AACCAAAGCCUGGGGUGGUGUGGGCAUCAAGGGUUGCUCUGAUGACAUUAGUAAUGACAAUACCAGCAGCUGGCACCUCGUGGGGACAUCAGUUCUGAGUGCACUGUCUUAAUUCUGUCGACCCUUGCUGUGAGCCUCACAUGACCAAAAGGAGAAACUGAGGUCCCUAGAGGUUCCGUAAAUGUACGGUUGUGUUUAGAACCCAAACAGUCAUCUUCAGGACCCAAGUGUUUAGGCCACACUGCUCUGCUCUCUCUGGAACCAAAUAUGCACACAUGCACACAGGCACCAGCUGGGAGUUAAAGGGUUAACAUUGCCCAACAUAGAAGAUGGAAUGUUCCACAUUGUCUCCCCAUUGGCCAGAUUCUGAACCAUACGAGGUACCCAGGAACCAAGGAGGAGCCCCAGGUCUCUCUGGAAAUGUGCCUAUUUUUAAAAAAUAUAUCUACAAUCAUCAUUGUCCCCGUUAUGUGUGUGAGUGACAUGAGAGGGGCUCGUGACAGCUGGCGCUGGAAAGGGCAGACUGAGGGCCAUGUUCUCUGCUAGUCUGGGGAGACGGAGACCAGACAAAGGUCCAUUGGCACAUUGGUUCAUCCAGCAAACAUUGACUUAGACCAUGGACUUGGAUGCUCUGAAAUUGGUCUCUUACUGGCUUAGAACUUCCAAGUAGACCAGCUUGUGAACUUCAGGAACCCACCUGUCUCCACUUCGCCACUCCUGCCAUUUUAAGCCUGAGUCACUAUGCCUGGCUGUUCUUUUCUUUUUUUUGAAGACGGGUUCGGGGGAUUGAACUCAGGUCCUUGUGCAUACAAGGCAAGUACUUUUACUGACAACUAUUCCCCCCGCUCUUCCACAGGGAGCUAUCAAUGCACGGUGGCUAACAAAAUUGUGAGAAUUUUAGUCUCUUGGAGUGUGAUGCACAAAAAUGUUCUGGAGCCCACUUGACUUUGGCAGUCAUGUGUAGGCUGAGUUCAUCUUGAAUUCACUUCCCGGGGGUGCUGCCACUAAGGACCACACAUUGGGUGGGUGGCUUCAAACAUCUGACUUCAUUCUCUCUUGGACUUGGGAAGCCUGAGGUGUGGACAGGGCCAGGCUCUCUGGCUCGAAGAAGACCCUGCCUCCUCCUCUCUCCUCCUCCCACACCUCCUCUGUUCUCAUAAGCACCCAGGCUACUGGUUCAGGCCACCUCAACAGAGCAUGACCUCAGCUUAACUUAAUUACAUUUGAUUCUAAAGUCCCACUCAGGUACUGGAAGUUAGGACUCUAAUACAUCUUUGAGGGGGGGCACAAUACACUCUACAACUGCCCCCCCUGCUACGUAUGAUGUGACUAAAAAGCCCUUGGCAACCCCAGUUCUAACCUGCCACUCCUGCCCCUUUCAGAUGGUAUGAUAUGGGAUACCUCUGCCAACAGUUUUCCGGAACAUUCUGACCCCUGAUGUCUCAUACUCCUUACCGACUUCUGGAGAACAGUGGAUGGCAUGGGUCCUCAGGGACAAAUGAAUGACCAAGGCAAGGGGCAGGUGGAACUCAGCAGGCGA